rnacentral:rRNA from 1 species
AACGAACGCUGGCGGCAUGCCUAACACAUGCAAGUCGAACGAAGCCUUCGGGCUUAGUGGCGCACGGGUGCGUAACGCGUGGGAAUCUGCCCCUUGCUUCGGAAUAACAGUUAGAAAUGACUGCUAAUACCGGAUGAAGUCUUCGGACCAAAGAUUUAUCGACAAGGGAUGAGCCCGCGUAGGAUUAGGUAGUUGGUUGGGUAAAGGCCUACCAAGCCGACGAUCCUUAGCUGGUCUGAGAGGGUGAUCAGCCACACUGGGACUGAGACACGGCCCCGACUCCUAAGGGAGGAAGGAGUAGGGAAUCUUCCGCAAUGGGCGAAAGCCUGACGGAGCAACGUCGCGUGAGUGAUGAAGGUCUUCUGAUCGUAAAACUCUGUUAUUAGGGAAGAACAAAUGUGUAAGUACCUAUGCACGUCUUGACGGUACCUAAUCAGAAAGCCACGGCUAACUACGUG